AUGUCCGGAUCCGGAGCAGGAGGCAAAUGGAUGGCCUCUACCGUCCGGGAGAAGGAUAUCAAAAAGCUUCAGGAGGCCGGGUAUCUGGCCAAGAAAAUCGGCCAUCGUCUCUCGACGGUGGGACAGAUCAUCUCUACCCCGGAACCCCACGAGAGGGUUGUAUUCCUCCCUCACUUUGUCCGCGGGCUAGGGUUUCCCCUUCACCCGUUCGUUCGUGGCAUCAUGUAUUAUUAUGGGAUCGAUCUUCACGAUCUGUCCCCUAACUCCUUCCUCAACAUCUCGACAUUUAUUGUCGUGUGCGAGGCCUUUCUCCGCAUCUCGCCACAUUUCGGCUUAUGGCUGAAGAUUUUUAAUGUGAAGCCCAAGGUAGUGGGCGGCGAGCACGCCGAGUGCGGUGGCGCCAUGGUGAGCAAGAUGCCCAACGUUACAUGGCCAACAUGCACUUUUAACGAUUCCGUCAAGGAGUGGCAACAACAGUGGUUUUACAUCACCGAGCCGCGCGGCACGGAAUGGGCUGCUACUCCCGAGUUUCUAUCCGGUGCCCCCCUGCGGCUUACAUCCUGGGUCAAGAAGGGCCUGAACUAG
rnacentral:rRNA from 1 species